CCGGGAACUAGCCCGGGUGGUCCGGCGUCACCUGUGAUCCGAAACCGUCGGCAUGCGGAGGGCGAAGUUCGAGGAAGGCGCAGACGGCACGGUUGCGUCCGCCGGGCCCCGACGUUGAGACCUUGUCCUGCGAGGUCGGCGGCCAGGGACCCAUGCUCCGGAGGGAGCGGAGGCCUGUCGUUGCGGGCACCGGUUCAGGCCCGGAAGGGAGCAGACCCACCGCAGACGUUCGGCGCCCGCGGGAGUGCGGGGUUGAGAAAGGGCCCCCCGGAACGGCCGCGUGCGUGGCGUCGACCGAGAACGCGUUCCCAC
rnacentral:SRP_RNA from 1 species